UACACAUGCAAGUCGAACGAUGAAGGAGGAGCUUGCUCCUCCGGAUUAGUGGCGAACGGGUGAGUAAUACGUGAGCAAUGUGCCCUUGACUCUGGGAUAAGCGCUGGAAACGGCGUCUAAUACCGGAUACGACCCUCGGAGGCAUCUCCUGAUGGUGGAAAGAACUUCGGUCAAGGAUCAGCUCACGGCCUAUCAGCUAGUUGGUGAGGUAACGGCUCACCAAGGCGACGACGGGUAGCCGGCCUGAGAGGGUGACCGGCCACACUGGGACUGAGACACGGCCCAGACUCCUACGGGAGGCAGCAGUGGGGAAUAUUGCACAAUGGGCGCAAGCCUGAUGCAGCAACGCCGCGUGAGGGACGAAGGCCUUCGGGUUGUAAACCUCUUUUAGCAGGGAAGAAGCGAAAGUGACGGUACCUGCAGAAAAAGCACCGGCUAACUACGUGCCAGCAGCCGCGGUAAUACGUAGGGUGCAAGCGUUGUCCGGAAUUAUUGGGCGUAAAGAGCUCGUAGGCGGUUUGUCGCGUCUGCUGUGAAAACCCGAGGCUCAACCUCGGGCUUGCAGUGGGUACGGGCAGACUAGAGUGCGGUAGGGGAGAUUGGAAUUCCUGGUGUAGCGGUGGAAUGCGCAGAUAUCAGGAGGAACACCGAUGGCGAAGGCAGAUCUCUGGGCCGUAACUGACGCUGAGGAGCGAAAGCAUGGGGAGCAAACAGGCUUAGAUACCCUGGUAGUCCAUGCCGUAAACGUUGGGAACUAGAUGUGGGGACCAUUCCACGGUCUCCGUGUCGUA
rnacentral:rRNA from 2 species